rnacentral:rRNA from 1 species
AUGAACGCUGGCGGCGUGCCUAAUACAUGCAAGUCGAGCGAACGGACGAGAAGCUUGCUUCUCUGAUGUUAGCGGCGGACGGGUGAGUAACACGUGGAUAACCUACCUAUAAGACUGGGAUAACUUCGGGAAACCGGAGCUAAUACCGGAUAAUAUUUUGAACCGCAUGGUUCAAAAGUGAAAGACGGUCUUGCUGUCACUUAUAGAUGGAUCCGCGCUGCAUUAGCUAGUUGGUAAGGUAACGGCUUACCAAGGCAACGAUGCAUAGCCGACCUGAGAGGGUGAUCGGCCACACUGGAACUGAGACACGGUCCAGACUCCUACGGGAGGCAGCAGUAGGGAAUCUUCCGCAAUGGGCGAAAGCCUGACGGAGCAACGCCGCGUGAGUGAUGAAGGUCUUCGGAUCGUAAAACUCUGUUAUUAGGGAAGAACAUAUGUGUAAGUAACUGUGAACAUCUUGACGGUACCUAAUCAGAAAGCCACGGCUAACUACGUG